rnacentral:rRNA from 1 species
CAAGGAUGCCAUACCACCCUGCAUGCACCUGAUUUCGUCUGAUCUGGAAAGCUAAGCAGGGUCAGGACUGGUUUGUACUUGGAUGGGAGAAAUAGUCAGGGAUGAUUAGAAAUGCCUUUGA